UACUCCUACGGGAGGCAGCAGUCGGGAAUAUUGCGCAAUGGAGGAAACUCUGACGCAGUGACGCCGCGUAUAGGAAGAAGGUUUUCGGAUUGUAAACUAUUGUCGUUAGGGAAGAAAAAAGACAGUACCUAAGGAGGAAGCUCCGGCUAACUACGUGCCAGCAGCCGCGGUAAUACGUAGGGAGCAAGCGUUAUCCGGAUUUAUUG
rnacentral:rRNA from 1 species